ACAACAACAUUCGGACCGUCGGUCUACCGAGCAAUAUCAACCGCUCGGUGGAAGAUCUUCCCUUUGUCGUUAAGC
rnacentral:pre_miRNA from 1 species